GUACUGGGGACAAAGCAGGGACCCAGGGAAAGGUGCUGGGAUGCUCCAUGCUGCAGGGUCUGUGGGAUGAGGGGCUACGCCGGCAAGAAGGAUUUGGAAAGAGGAAGAUGUCUCCUCUCCAAACCCUCCCUUAAAUGGCAGUUCUGCUUUCAAACAGGAGAGGAUGGAGCAUGUCGAUCCUAAAUCUCCCGGUGCUCCAAGAGCUGCCUCCGGCCCCGCUGCCCCGCAGCAACCCCAGCAGCCAGAAAGUGCUGGCAGGAGGGAAAGGGGUUGAGAAACUGCAGGCAGCAGGAUGAGGCAGGAGCCAGCGCAAGCAGGAUGUGACUGGGGGGUGACGGGGACGGCUGGAGGGGCGCCAGGAGGAAGCGGUACCCGGGGCCAUCCUGUUACCUCCCUCCCACAGCCCUCCAGCCCCAGCACCGCUCCCUGCACAGCGCUUCUCUGUUUCAUCCCUGCCACCUAAAUUCUCUCUCAGCAGCAAAGCAACGCCUUCUCCUUCCAUUUACUGCGGGGUUUUGCACUCCUGCCCUUGCUGGGAGCACCCGGGGCUGUCACUCUGGGCUGUCCCUGCCACAAGUGCCCCAACCCCGUCAGUGCAUCCGCGUGGCAAACCUGGUAUUUGCUGGUCCUUUUUCAGCACAGAUUUUACGGCAGCGUUGGGAGGUGUGGGGUUGAGGGGAGGCUCAGACCGUGCCCUUCUCAGUUCUCAAAGUGUUGCUUUAGCGCUGCAGAAAGGAGAGAGGAGAGAAUGAAGGAGGAGAAGGAAGCAGCAAAAAAAAAGAAAAGGAAAAAAAUAAUAAAAAAUGACUUUUUCCCUCCCUGAAAACGACACCCAAAGCAGCUGUGCUUUGUUUUCCCCCAGCUCUGGUUGGUCCCAAGCUGCUGGCACCUUCCUCUGCUGUCCCCUUCACAGAGCUCCCAUCUCCUUAUCCCCCACCUGCCCUUCCCCUCCACGUCCUCCAGAAAUCCUCAUGUUUCCCAGUUCUGACACGGCCCAGGGAAGCCAAUGCAAGAGCCACUCCUGCUCGGGAGGAGAGGUCCAACCCCAUGCACAAGCUGCAGCACUCACCCUAUUGAAAGGCAAGAAGGGACACGCAAAUCACCCUCUCCCCAGUCCUGCCACACCGAAAUGCAUUAAAAAGGAUGGAAAAGCAAACACCCUGAUGGGCAAGAAUGCACGCUGACACAUUGGCUUUGUGGCAGUUCACCAUCAGUCUUGGCUUCAGCUCAUAUCAGUAUGGAGCAGCUUUGCUGUAGGGCAGGAUGACAGGGAGACCACCCUGCUGCCCAUGGGGUAUGGGAAGUGGGCUGGGGCUUCAUGGCAAAGGUGCUCCAGGGUCAUCUGGGCUGAGUGGGCGUCCCUCAGUGUGUACUGGGUGCAGGGAAGGGGAUCCCACACCUCUCUGGGAAGGUCUGUGAUAGAGAAGAGUCACAGAAUCAUGAAGGAUGGAAAAGCCCUCUCAGAUCCCCAGGUCCAACUCCCUCCCACCCCACCGUGCCCACUGAUACAUCCUUCAGUGCCACAUCUCCUCUGGAUCAUCUCUGGCACAGUGACUCUAUCACUUCUGGGCAGCUAUGCCAGUGCAGCACCGCUCUUUUGGACCUAAUAUCUGAGCUCAGAAGGUCCCAUCAGAGCCCAGCCCUGCCCUGCUGCACAACAAAACCUCAAGAGCUCCGGGGUGCUGCAGCUCUGCUUUUCCAGCAGGGAUAUUGCAUGCAAACCUACUGCUUUCAGCUCAAAGAUUACCUCAGUGUAAAAGAGGAGAUCUAAAGAAAAUAAGCGAUCUCCAAACGCAGUGAAACAAAAAACCUUUCUGUCCAAACCAAACGUUAUGGCUUGACCUGAACUGAACAGUCAUACCAGUAUGGGGACCUUUUGGGUCCUUAUUUCUUUCACUUUGCCCGAAAGCCCCUCCUGCAUCCCCAUCUCUGUGCUAUCCUGGUCCUACUUCCACACCCAGGACAUUCUCUUUGGGCACCAACCAACACUCUUGCUUCAUUUUCCCAUCAACUUCCAUGGUUCUUCAUCCAUGGACAGACCCAUUGGACGUUCUUCCAUCCACAGACCAGACCCAGUGGAUGAUCUUCACCAAAAGCAAGCAACACUUCAGGUCUCCUCCUUCAUGGACCUGUGAGCCUGCCCCAAGCAUCCUCCAGAGGAAGCCAUGGCCAAGAAGAGAUGGGCACCCGGAAGAUGCUGGUUGGUUUCCCUAUGGCUGCAAUAGGGGAAGCCUAUGAGGAGAGGGCUUCACAAAGAUGUUGGGUUCCAUUUCCAGCCCCCCACCCCUUGCUGGCUGUGCCAGUGCCGUGCCCUCCGACCUGAGGCAAAGAAGUGAAACCCCAGCAAAGUAGCAAACAAGUCGAGGCGUAAACACGGCACGAAUCCGCGGCGCUUCACCGCGGUUCGUUAUCUCUGGUUAGACUGGAGACGGCGGAGCCGGGUUUGAGGAGAGCAGAAAUAUCAGCAAUUAAAGAUAUGUCGUGUCAAAAAAACUCUAAACUGAUUAAAGUUGAAGGCUCCGUUUUCUUCUUUUCAUCAGAGAACGGAAUCAAAACCUGCCUGGAAAGACGCG
ensembl:lncRNA